AAGGCUGCACUCAUGGCAUAUGGAGAUUCCCAGGCCAGGGGUGCAAUUGGAGCUACAGCUGCCGGCCACAGCCACAGCCACAGCAACACGGGAUCCAAGCUGCGUCUGUGACCUACACCACAGCUCAGGGCAACACCAGAUCCUUAACCCACUGAGUGAGGCCAGGGAUUGAACCUGCAAUCUCCUGAUUCCUAGUCGGAUUGGUUUCUGCUGCGCCACGAUGGGAACUCCUCCAGGCCAGAUUUUAAACCUUAAUUCCUUAUCCAUUUAAAAUGCUCCUCUCAGAUAAUGUGAGAAGAAAAAAAAACGUGUGUGUGUGUGUGUGUGUGUGUGUGUGUGUGUGUGAGAGAGAGAGAGAGAGAGAGACUGGGUCACUUCAAUGUACAGUAGAAAAUUGACAGAACACUGUAAGCUAAAUAUAAUGGAAAAAAUAAAAAUCAUUAUAAAAAAUAAAUAAAAUGCUCCUCUCACAUAUAUAUGUAUGACUAGGUCACUUUGCUGUACAGCAGAAAUCAGCACAACAUUGUAAAUCAACUAUACUUCCAUUUUUCUAAAUGUUAAAGAAAUAAAAAAUAUAUCCUCUCUUGGGUGUGGAAUGUAAAUUGAUGGAGCCACUAUGGAAGGUUCCUCCAAAACCUAAAAACAGAGUUGCCAUAUAAUCCAGCAUCCCACUCCCAGGCAUAUGUCCAAACAAAACUAUAAUUCAAAAAGAUACACGAACCCCAAUGAUCAUAACAUAACUACUUACAAUAGUCUAGACAUAGAAGCAAACUAAAUGUCCAUCAACAGAUGAAUGGAUAAUCAUGUGACAUAUAAUAUGAAUAUUAUUCAGCCAUUAAAAAAGAAUGAAAUUGGAAAAAAAAUGAAAUUGAAAAAAAAAACUGAAUAUUAUUCAGCCAUUAAAAAAAGAAUGAAAUGAAAAAAAAAGAAAUUGAAAAAAACCUGUGGCUCAGCAGGUUAAGAACCUGACAAGUAUCCAUGAGGGUGCAGGUUCAAUCCCUGGCCUCACUCAGCAGGAUAAGGAUCCAGUGUUGCCAAAAGGUGCAGCAAAUGUGGCUCCAAUCUGGCAUUGCUGUGGCUAUGAUGUAGGCCUGCAGUUGCAGCUCUGAUUAGACCCCUAGCCUGGGAACUUCUACAUGCCACAAGUGCAGCCCUGGGGGGAAAAAAAAAUGAAUGAAAUAAUGCCAUUUGCAGCAACAGGGAUGGACUUAGAGAUUUUCAUACUGGAUUUCCUGCUGUGGCACAAGGGGAUUGGCAGCACCAUGGGAGCACUGGGAAGCAGAUUCGAUCCCCUGCCUGGUACAGUGCUGCUACAGCUGCAGCUGAAGUCACAACUGCAGCUCAGAUCCGAUCCUUGGCCCAGGAACUCCAUAUGCCACAGGGUGGACAAAAAUAAAAAUAAAAAUAACCAGCGAGGUUGUCAUACUAAGUGAAGUAAGUCAGGGAAAAAAAAAAAAAGACAAAAACCAUGUGAUAUCACUAAUAUGGGGAAUCCAAAAUAUGAUACAAGGAAUCCCCUGCAAAUUAAGGACCCGGUGUUGUCGCUGCUAUGGUCACAGCUGUGGCAAGGGUUUGCUCCCUGGCCCCAGAACUUCCACAUCCAUGGGAGUGACCAAAAAAUACAUAUAUACAUUUCCUAUAUAUAUGAAUGACUCAAAUGAACUCAUUUAUAAAAGAGACUCACAGACAAAAAACAAACUUACGAUUACCUGAGGGGGAAGAUGAUGGAGGAGGGAUAAAUUAGGAGUUUGGGAUUAGCAAAUACAAACCAUUAUAUAUAAAACAGAUUAAAAAAACAAGGUCCUACUGUAUAGCACAGGGAACUAUAUAUCCUGUAAUAAACCAUAAUGUUAAAGAAUAUGAAAAAGAAUACUGAAUCAUUUUGCUAUGUCCCAGAACCUCACACAACACUGUAAAUCAACUAUAUAAUUUAAAAAUAAAAUUAAAUACAUACAUACAUAUAAAAUAAUGUUUUCUUGAAGUACUCUAGACGCCUGAGUGGAAAAGGGAAAACAAUGAAGCUAUGCUCACCUAGGUAGCACAUUGAUGGGGGUAAAAUAUUCCCUUGGUGCUUUUGCUUUCCGGUGACUGGAAGUGACAUGUUUCCUUCUGACAGGGCCCAUGAGAGGCCAUAGGGAUCAACGCCAAGUUUCAGGGAGGUGGCUCCAAUAAGGCGUCCAAGAAUGUGAGUGCAAAGGUCAGUAAUUCAACACUGAAAAUGGUGAUACGCCAUCAAGAUCCCAACUUGCUCCCUGAGUCCCUCUGAGACCAGAGCAGAUGUUAUCUGAGCUGACCUCACCCUGUUCCCUCUCCACCAGCCCAUCACAUGCAGCACCAACACUUACUUUCUUCCUGAGUCUCAAGCAAGUGCUAGACUCCUCCAAGGUCCAGGAGGGAGCUGGCUGAAUCUCUGGCUGCCCUCUCCCCUCAUCCUAUUUCCCAAUAGCCCAGGGCUGCCCUCCAAGACCUUCCUGGAUCCCAUUCUCAACCUUAUUUUAUUCACAGGUAAUACUGGGAUCAAGAACCAAAAUGGCCUGCUCGAGAUAAAGCAGUCACUAAAGGACAGACAUCCAGAUCUAAUUACUCAUUUUCGGUCUCCCUAAUGAUACCCUGAUGCCUCCUGUGACCAAAUUCUUGCCCAGAGAGGUCAGGUAAAACAACCUAGAAACUCUAUCAGGCUAAAGCAAGCAAAUAGAGGAAGGGAUUAACAUACUUGAAAAACAGGGCAACCACAAAGGAAAACUAAACAAUACAGUCACAAAAACCAAAAAUAAGAAACACAAGUAUAUAAUAAAAGGAAAUCAUCAAACCAAAAAAAGAAAGAAACAAAGGAGAAACAUAGAAUCAACUGGAAAACAAGGUUUAAAAUGCGUUGCCAUGAGCUGUGGUGUAAGUUGCAGACGCGGCUCCGAUCCCGCUAUUGCUGUGGCUCUGGUGUAGGCCACCCACUACAGCUCCAAUUAGACCCCUAGCCUGGGAACUUCCAUAUGCCUCAGGAGUGGCC
rnacentral:lncRNA from 1 species